CGGGAGCCUAUGGAUCACCCGAUCGCGACAGCAAUUAUAACCUUCCAGCCGUGCCGUGUUGUCACUCUUCGUCCAGCUGCCAGAGGUCUGUGGGCACAUCCCCUGGGGGGCUGGGGGGGCGCUGGAGCUGGGGACGGGGGGGUCUCAGCACCCCCAGCCCUCCCUCUCCGUGUGCAGCCCCUUCCCCGUGCCCCCCCGGAGCCCUUUCCCAUGAGCUGCCUUCUUUUACGCAUUUUAUAUCGUCCGCUCUCAACGCCGGUUUGCUACGGGGAGGGUGCGGGGAGGGGGGGUGCAGCAGAACUGGGGGGGCUUUUCUAGGCAGCCCGCUCAUGGGAAAGGGCACCCCUGCGCCUCCUCCGUCCCCCCCCCACUCCUGCCCACAGCCUGGCCCCGCUGCAUGUGUGUCCCCCCACCCCGGGGUGCCCGAACCUGGCUCGGACCCUCGGGUGCUGCCCGGGGCUGAGCCCGGCGCAGGGCUGGGGGGCGGUGGGAGCGCUCCCCCUGCUCCCACCCCAAAUCCUAAAGCGUCCAGCCCCGGGGAUUUGGCUCUUAGGUGCCCCACGGAGCCGUGCCAGGGCUGGGGAAGGGACCUGCAGCUCCCGUGGGCUUCCCCCCGGGCUGCUUUGCCCCCACAUCGAUGCUUCUCCCCCCUCUGUGUGCCUGCAUGGGCUCAAGCACCUCUUUGGGGCUGGGGGGGGGGAAAAAGGAGCUGGUGGUGCUUGUGGGCACGAAGAGCGAGCUGGGGACACUCCAGAGCCACAUCCCCAGGAGCAGGAGACGUUUCCCGGCCUCCAGCUGCUGGGGGAAGCAGGAAAACCCCAGAAGCAGCUGUUAAACCCAGCCCAGGACAGCCCCUGCCCGUCUUCUCCCCACAAACACAGCCCGGCGGGGUUAGGGAGCGGCGCAGACCCGCAGCUCACCCUAAAAACGCCCAGGCGCCCUCCAAAAGUGCUGCCAGCAGCAGUACUGCAAGCACCAGCCCUGGUGUUGCACAAGACCACAGCUGCACAGCCCCACACGUGACAAUUCCGUGCGUGGCGCUGGGCAGGCGUGCUGCUGGGGGGGCAGGAGGAAGCAGGACGGGGGGAAAAACCCGAUAACCCCCCCCCAGAACCCUCCCCUGCACAGCCCCAGCUGUUAGCACUUCACAUUUUUGGCCAUCUCCAGGCCUC
rnacentral:lncRNA from 1 species